rnacentral:snoRNA from 1 species
AACUUCCAGAUGCCUUACCCAUGAGAUCUAAAUAUUGGUCUGAGUGGCCAAAAAUAGGAAGAAAAAUAAAACUGUAGUGGAUUUGCAGGCUAUGGUGGCAUCGCAGUUCAUUUGAAACAUUA